rnacentral:lncRNA from 1 species
UGAUAUAUUCAAAUCACUUUGAGGCUCAUUGUUAAAGAACUCCCAGGAUUGAGCGAUUUCACCUAGAAAAUGAUGAAAUUCCAACCAUUUUCAAUGGAAUUCCAAAACUUUUAGCAAAAGUUUUGACGAUGUUCUGCACCAAAAAGAAGGUCAGACGAAUGGAAAAAAAAUUGCUAAAAUAAACUCUGAUAGGCAAAACGAGAAAAUAAGGCAGCAAGAAUUAAUGCAAAAUCUUUAAAAAAAUGUUGUUCUCAAUCAUUGUUAUUCCUUUGUUGAUGUUAAGAUACUCAAAAAGGAAAUGCUGGAAAAUACUGAAUGAGUGGAGCACUUGCAAAAAAAGCUAAAAGACAAGACAUACCGAUAUAAGAAAGAGGAAGAUGUUAAUGACUUAAGAGAGCAGAUGUAUGUCAAGAAAGGAGCUGAGGAAAUUUUGCAAGAAUUUAAUGGAACUGCAAUUCCAGAUCUACUUUUCAGUCGCAGCAAUAUAAACCAAUUACUCAAUCAGCAUAGUAGAGAAGUUUAUUCUCCAAAAA